AACGCAAGUGGCGCUCCAGGCAACUGGAGCAUGUUUGUCUGAGGGUUGUAUAAAUCUAUGUUUGGGAUUUGUGUUUGAAUCUUUUCAUUAAGGUUUGAACUCUCCCUAAAUGCAUAGCACUGAUCAAUUUCAAAUUAUUCAUUUAAUUUGAAAAAUCUAUGAAAGAUUGAAGAAUUUUGAAAAAAAACAAAAAAAAUGCGAGUUGAGAUACAAAUCUUGACUUCAUUUUUGUUACGCGGAGUCACAUCCGUGUAUCAUAAGCAUUUUUUUUAAAGCAAAAAACUUCUUUCUUUUCAAAAACAAAAAAAUCGCAACCUCAGAUCAAGCAGGAUUACCCGCUGAACUUAA
rnacentral:misc_RNA from 1 species